UACAGAGGUGGCAAGCGUUGUUCGGAAUUACUGGGCGUAAAGGGCGCGUAGGCGGCCAUCUAAGUCAGACGUGAAAUCCCCCGGCUUAACCUGGGAACUGCGUCUGAUACUGGACGGCUUGAGUGCGGGAGAGGGAUGUGGAAUUCCAGGUGUAGCGGUGAAAUGCGUAGAUAUCUGGAGGAACACCGGUGGCGAAGGCGGCAUCCUGGACCGGUAUUGACGCUGAGGCGCGAAAGCCAGGGGAGCAAACGGG
rnacentral:rRNA from 1 species